rnacentral:tRNA from 1 species
GCGGAGGUAGCUCAGUUGGUAGAGCAACACCUUGACAUGGUGGAGGUCGUAGGUUCAAGUCCUAUCCCCCGUA